rnacentral:rRNA from 1 species
ACUGGCGCACGGGUGCGUAACGCGUAGAUAAUCUGCCUAUAUCACAGACAUAACCUUGGGAAACUGAGGCUAAUAUCUGAUGAGGUGCUUCGGCAUCAAAGGUUUACCGGAUAUAGAUGAGUCUGCGUCUGAUUAGCUAGUUGGUAAGGUAAUGGCUUACCAAGGCGACGAUCAGUAGCUGGUCUGAGAGGACGAUCAGCCACACUGGAACUGAGACACGGUCCAGACUCCUACGGGAGGCAGCAGUGAGGAAUAUUGCACAAUGGAGGAAACUCUGAUGCAGCAACGCCGCGUGUGGGAUGAAGGAGCUAUGCUUCGUAAACUACUGUCAGAUGGGAGUAAAAGCCUGCUUUGUGGGCUGGGAACGUACCAUCAGAGGAAGGGUCGGCUAACUACGUGCCAGCAGCCGCGGUAAUACGUAGGACCCAAGCGUUGUCCGGAAUCACUGGGUGUAAAGGGUGCGUAGGCGGAUUUUUGCGUCGAAGGUUAAAGACCACAGCUUAACUGAGGGAGUGCCUUCGAUACGGGAAGUCUUGAGUUCGAGAGAGGUAAGUAGAAUUCCUGGUGUAGCGGUGAAAUGCGUAGAUAUCAGGAGGAAUACCAGUGGCGAAGGCGGCUUACUGGCUCGAUACUGACGCUGAGGCACGAAAGCGUGGGGAUCAAACAGGAUUAGAUACCCUGGUAGUCCACGCCUUAAACGAUGUAUGCUUGU